rnacentral:rRNA from 1 species
AUUGAACGCUGGCGGCAGGCCUAACACAUGCAAGUCGAGCGGAUGAAGGGAGCUUGCUCCUGGAUUCAGCGGCGGACGGGUGAGUAAUGCCUAGGAAUCUGCCUGGUAUUGGGGGAUCACGUCCGGAAACGGGCGCUAAUACCGCAUACGUCCUGAGGGAGAAAGUGGGGGAUCUUCGGACCUCACGCUAUCAGAUGAGCCUAGGUCGGAUUAGCUAGUUGGUGGGGUAAAGGCCUACCAAGGCGACGAUCCGUAACUGGUCUGAGAGGAUGAUCAGUCACACUGGAACUGAGACACGGUCCAGACUCCUACGGGAGGCAGCAGUGGGGAAUAUUGGACAAUGGGCGAAAGCCUGAUCCAGCCAUGCCGCGUGUGUGAAGAAGGUCUUCGGAUUGUAAAGCACUUUAAGUUGGGAGGAAGGGCAGUAAGUUAAUACCUUGCUGUUUUGACGUUACCAACAGAAUAAGCACCGGCUAACUUCGUG